GGGAAAGCAAACGAGAACGAUAGAACAAACCAAUCAAGUAGAGCAGUUCGAUCGAUUCAGCUGCGGCUAAGAAUUUGAUGAUGAUGAUUAAGGUUCCUCAUGUCGCGUUCCGUCGGGUUCUCCCAUUGUUCGUUCACCGCAACCAACCUUUUUCGGUUGUCUCCCGCCAAAUCACUUCCACCUGUGUUUGCACCGCCGUUUUCCCCUCAAUUAC
rnacentral:misc_RNA from 1 species